GCUGUGCAGGUGCUAAUGGAAGUUGUAACAGUGGGACUCCAUGCUGUGACAGACGUUUUACCUGCAUGCUUAUCCGUCGAGAAAGGAAGUGUAAAAUGAGGUGAUUUUUGUUUUUAUGUCGUCGGUCGCAAGCACUAUAUUUUGUGAUUACAGAAACUUAUUUUUGGUUUUUAAAAUGAUUAAACAUAUUAGUGUU